rnacentral:lncRNA from 1 species
AGCAAUAUGACCCUUGGCAAUUUACCUAACACCCGCGAACCUCAGUUUCCUAACCUGUAAGUUGGGGGUGAUAAUACCAAUUUCCAAAAAGAUGUUGUGAGCAAUAGUGCAAUACUAUGAAUAAAGCAAUUGAUGGAGGGCCUGGCUAUUGCUGACUAUCAUCAUCAAGCUCUUUGUCUAAUAGCAUUUGGGGAAAGGAAUGAAAUUCCCAGAUGAGAGACAAAGUUGACCAUCAGAGUCUGCAGAGUUUGCAUACCCACAUGGUAUCAGAGGUCUCCAGUAAAUGCAGUUACUCCUGGAAUCCAUGAAGAUAGGACAAACAGUGAGCUGGUAGCAGCAAAAGCUAAUCAAGUUAAUUGAGAUUCUAUGACCAGCUCUGAUGUCAGCACAACCCAUUAUUUUGGAGAGUUCUUUCCGGCCUGAAAGUGACGCUUGUUGCUUUAUUCACAAUCUACUGGCAAGAACUCAGCCACGAGGCCACACAUGAUCUCAAGGGAUGCCAAAAAAACGUAAAUUUAAAAAAUACAUCACGUGUAAUGAAAUGAAGCCUAGCCACCUGCCCAGGAAGAAGAGGAAAU